UGCGGUCGUACGGAUUUUAUUGUGAUAUAAUAUGUAUGUAUAUUUUAUACUAUAUUGUGUCGAUAUGGCCACUUGAGCGGUACCCGUUUCCACCAAAAGUGAAUCUUUCCCUUUUCCACCAUUAUCCACUUUCACCAUAAGUGAACCCUUCCUUUUCCACCAUAACCCGUUUCCAUCAAACGUGUACCUUCCUCUUUUCCACAGAGUUGGAUUAUAGGGAGAGGCUAUAGCGG